AAUGAACGUUGGCGGCGUGGAUUAGGCAUGCAAGUCGAGCGCGAACCGUAGCAAUACGGGGAGAGCGGCGAAAGGGAGAGUAAUACGUGGAUACCUGCCCUCGGGUUCGGGAUAGCUACGGGAAACUGUAGGUAAUACCGGAUAACAUCUUCGGAUCAAAGGUGUGAUUCCGCCCGGGGAGGGGUCCGCGUCCUAUUAGCUAGUUGGUGAGGUAACGGCCCACCAAGGCGAAGAUGGGUAUGGGGUGUGAGAGCAUGACCCCACUCACUGGGACUGAGACACUGCCCAGACCCCUACGGGUGGCUGCAGUCGAGAAUCUUCGGCAAUGGGGGAAACCCUGACCGAGCGACGCCGCGUGCGAGAUGAAGGCCUUCGGGUUGUAAAUCGCUGUCAGAGGGGAGGAAAUGCCGGGAAGUAAUUCAUAAUCAACUCGGUUUGACCUAGCCUCAGAGGAAGGACGGGCUAAGUUCGUGCCAGCAGCCGCGGUAA
rnacentral:rRNA from 1 species